GGCCGAACCCCCCCGACAAAACGACGCUCUGCUUGUACAUGUUUACUUUGCAGCUGUGUCAACAACACGAGGAACAACACUAGAAAAAAUUAACUUAAGCUGGGGAAAAAAAAAAAUAGGUUCAUACAUAGCACUAGCAACAACAACAACAAUACUGCAACAUGUGGUGCCAGACACUUGAACGGAACAUGAAAGUUCAAGAGGCAAUAAAAUUCAAAGGGAUUUCCCCGAUGAACUUCAAACAGGAGUUUCCUCCAUCCACGGGCUCACAGGUGGGGGUGCCCAUUGAGAGGGACGAUGAAAAAAAUGAAUUAAUGUGAAGGGGUACCUAGGUCAGAAAGGUUUCUGAACCACUGGCUUAGGUUGAGAGACAAAACAGAUUCUGGAAAAUAGAGGAAACUGAACCGAGAGCCACAGAUGCCUUGUCUCUGCUGCACUGGGAAAUAAAUCCCAUGACAAGGUGUCCCAGAAGCGGCUCCUGGGAGCUCAGAGGCCCGCCCGUCGGCGAGCUGCCUCUUACAGCCGCUGGAUUUAUUCCCUGCCAUUAUUUCAGCCUGCAGGGCCAUUCAGGUGCUCCUCUUCCAAGGUCCUGGCAUUUAAAAAUGCUUUGUCAUGCCAACUGCAGCCAACUGGGGAUCGCUACAAAAUUGGCUCUGCUCUGAGGCAACGUGACAACUGUCGCCCAGGCUGAGAAACACAUAAACCUGCCUCUCUUUGUUUGCUUAGUAAAUUGUACUGUCCGAAAAAUAAUGCUGUGCAUGAUAUAUGCACAGCAUUAAUGAUAUAUCCACAGCAUUGUUUAGAAUUGGUUAUCAAACCGAGUUUCAUCUUUUCAUUUGAUUCACUUAACCUUCCCUGUUGUUUGCUGUUUCUUUCUGUUUCUCGUGUCUUUGAGGUGAGAUAUGUCUGUCAUCGCCAGGGAUUUAUUAUCUAACCUGCAAAAGUCAAUCGCUGCAUCUCUGCUUUCGGACAUUUUAAAUGCUGUCUAUAUCAUCUGUCAUAAUACAGAACAAAUCCAACGGGCAAGUAUGCAAAGUUUCUGUGCCUUGGACAACUCUGUCCAUCAAAUUUCAGGUACAGCAGUGGUGAAAAAAAAAACAACGCUCAGAUCCUUUACUUGAGUAAAAGGACAAAUACAUCAGUACAGAAAUACUCCAUUACAAGUAAAGGUCAAUAAUGAAUUCAAAAUCCUACUUAAGUAAAAGUAGAGAAGUAUUAUCAGCAAAAAGCACUUAUAGUGUCAAAACCGAAAGUACUCAUUCUGCAGUCAGGGGUCAUUAUACAGUCCAUGACGAUCAGACGCUUAAUACUGUUUUACUGCUGUAGCCACUGAAGGUGGUUUUUAGGAGUGUUUUGGCCACUUUAUAUACAGUUAGAUAGUUCAGUCCAGUGGUUCCCAACCUAGGGGUCAGGCCCCUUCAAAGGGUCACAAGAUAAAGCUAAAGGGUCGUGAGAUGAUUAAUGGGAGAGGAAAGGAAAAAACAAAGUUCUGGUACAGAAAUUUUUUUUAAUUUUUUUCUCGAAUCUUUGCUGUUCUUUUUGAAAUAUUGGAUCUUUUUCCCAUUUGAGCUAUGAACAGUUAUUUUUUCUGGAACUUGACAAGAAGACAACAGACAGUGUUUUUGUAAAGUGUCAAAAGCCAAAAAGGUUGGAAACCACUGGUUCAAUCCUUAACAACAAAUUGUAUUUAAUAAAAUUGUCGUAUGUGUUUUAUGUAAAAUCUUAAUUUGAAAAGUAACAAGUAACUGCAGCUGUCAAAUUAAAGUUGUGGAGUAAAAUUAAAAAAUAUUAAAAUAUUAUAAAUAAAUUAAAAUAUUUCCCUCUGAAAUGUGGAGGAAUUGCACCUGAGCACAUUACCACAGUGAAUGUACUUAGGUAUUUUCCAAUACUUAUGGAUAAAAUGAACUAAUCUGCUAAUGAUAACAGUUAAACAUAUUGGCUUGGCCACAAAAACUACUAAGUCUAUAUUAAAAUAUGCACUAUGCAACUUCUUGUACAUGAAAUUGUUGUAGAUUUCUGUUUGACUAUAAUCCCAUGUGUUCAGACCUAAAUCCUCUCCCUCCUCUUUAUAUAACUUUUUAAUGAAGCUGAUCAAUUCCAGGGC